rnacentral:rRNA from 1 species
UACGUAGGGUGCGAGCGUUGUCCGGAAUUACUGGGCGUAAAGAGCUCGUAGGUGGUUUGUCGCGUUGUUCGUGAAAACUCACAGCUUAACUGUGGGCGUGCGGGCGAUACGGGCAGACUGGAGUACUGCAGGGGAGACUGGAAUUCCUGGUGUAGCGGUGGAAUGCGCAGAUAUCAGGAGGAACACCGAUGGCGAAGGCAGGUCUCUGGGCCGAUACUGACGCUGAGGAGCGAAAGCGUGGGGAGCGAACAGG